UAAAAACUUUCCCAUAGCUUAGAGUAUUGUCCUCGUUAUGGCCUUUAAGAUGUGUUUUGUUUUCACUGUUCUUCUCAUGGCAGCUACGAUUAACAUGGCGUGGUUUUCAGAGACACGUUUUGUGAUUGCACGGAACGUUAAUCAUGAUCUCUCAGGAGUUGAGAAGAGACUGCUCCCGCAACUUAAUAGUAUUACAUGUGGCCGACAUUGCGAAAUUUAUACUGACUGCAACGAUUGUUGGAUGUGUUGUAGUUGUGGAGGAUUACCGGGAUACCAGCAGUGUCAAAUCUAAAACUACAUUGCUAUCCAAUUGCAAUGUAUUUUGCUUCAAAUCCUUAUUGUCCAUUUGUAUUCUUGUGAGUCUAGUGUUUCUUGUUUCCUCUAUUUGUACUUUGUAUGAAAAUAAAGAAAGUCAAGAUAUUGGCUUUCUAUUCAUGAAUAAAAAGGGAUUUGAAUACAA